ensembl:lncRNA
UGCUCCCAGUAUGGCUCCCAGUCCAUCCCAGUAUGGCCCAGUAUGGCUCCCAGUGGCUCCCAGUGCCUCCCAGUCCAUCCCAGUAUGGCCCAGUAUGCCUCCCAGUUGCUCCCAGUUGCUCCCAGUAUGGCCCANACUUUCACUUUCACUUUCUCAUUCGCCUUCACUUCCUCAUUCCCUUCUAUUUCCACUUCCCUCGCUUUCAUGUCCGCUUCCGCUCCCACUUUUACUUUCACUUUCACACUUUCACUUCCUCUACAUUCACGCCCACUUCCACUUCUGCUCCCAUUCCCAUUUUUACUUUCACUUUCACUUUCUCACUCACCUUCACUUCCUCAUUCACUUCUACUUCCACUUCCCUUACUUCCAUCUCUGCUUCCGCUCCCACUUUUACUUUCACUUUCACACUUUCAGUUUCACUUCCUCUACAUUCACGCCCACUUCCGCUCUCAUUCCCAUUUUUACUUUCACUUUCACUUUCUCACUCACCUUCCUCAUUCACUUCUACUUCCACUUCCCUCACUUUCAUGCCCGCUUCCGCUCCCACUUUUACUUUCACUUUCUCACUUUCACUUCCUCUACAUUCACGCCCACUUCCACUUCUGCUCCCAUUCCCAUUUUUACUUUCACUUUCACUUUCUCAUUCGCCUUCACUUCCUCAUUCCCUUCUAUUUCCACUUCCCUCACUCUCAGGUCCGCUUCCGCUCCCACUUUUACUUUCACUUUCACACUUCCAGUUUCACUUCCUGUACAUUCACGCCCACUUCCGCUCUCAUUCCCAUUUUUACUUUCGCUUUCACUUUCUCAUUCGCCUUCACUUCCUCGUUCCCUUCUAUUUCCACUUCCCUCACUUUCAGGUCCGCUUCCGCUCCCACUUUUACUUUCACUUUCUCACUUUCACUUCCUCUACAUUCACGCCCACUUCCGCUUCCGCUCCCAUUCCCAUUUUUAUUUUCACUUUCACUUUCUCACUCGCCUUCAUUUCCUCAUUCACUUCUACUUCCCUUACUUUCAGCUCCGCUUCUGCUCCCACUUUCACUUUCACUUUCUCACUUUCACUUUUCCUCCAUUCACGUCCACGCCCGCUUCCGCUCCCAUUCCCAUUUUUACUUUCACUUUCACUUUCUCACUCACCUUCCUCAUUCACUUCUACUUCCACUUCCCUUACUUCCAUCUCCGCUUCCGCUCCCACUUUUACUUUCACUUUCUCACUUUCACUUUCACUUUCCCCACAUUCACACCCACUUCCGCUUUCAAUCCCAUUUUUACUUUCACUUUCACUUUCUCGCUCACCUUCACUUCCUCGUUCACUUCUAUUUCCACUUCCUUAGUUUCCCCUCCGCUUCCGCUCCACUUUUACUUUCACUUUCACUUUCUCACUUUCAGUUUCACUUCCCCUACAUUCACGCUCACUUCUGCUCCCAUUCCCAUUUUUACUUUCACUUUCGCUUUCUCACUCACCUUCACUUCCUCCCUCACUUCUCCUUCCCUCACUCUCNGUAGGGAGCCCCAGGAAGGUGCUAGGGGGACACAACCACCGCCCCUCGCACCUUCCAGGACCCAACCUCCAUAUAAAACAUAA